rnacentral:rRNA from 1 species
UACGUAGGGUGCAAGCGUUGUCCGGAAUUAUUGGGCGUAAAGAGCUCGUAGGCGGUCUGUCGCGUCUGCUGUGAAAACUCAGGGCUUAACCCUGAGCUUGCAGUGGGUACGGGCAGACUAGAGUGCGGUAGGGGGAGACUGGAAUUCCUGGUGUAGGCGGUGAAAUGCGCAGAUAGUCAGGAGGGAACACCGGUGGGCGGAAGGCGGGUCUCUGGGCCGUAACUGACGCUGGAGGAG